UACGGGGGGGGCAAGCGUUGUUCGGAAUUACUGGGCGUAAAGGGCUCGUAGGCGGCCAACUAAGUCGGACGUGAAAUCCCUCGGCUUAACCGGGGAACUGCGUCCGAUACUGGAUGGCUUGAGUAUGGGAGAGGGAUGCGGAAUUCCAGGUGUAGCGGUGAAAUGCGUAGAUAUCUGGAGGAACACCGGUGGCGAAGGCGGCGUUCUGGACUGUAACUGACACUGAGGAACGAAAGCCAGGGGAGCAAACGGG
rnacentral:rRNA from 1 species